rnacentral:rRNA from 1 species
AACGAACGCUGGCGGCGUGCUUAACACAUGCAAGUCGAACGGUAAGGCCCUUCGGGGUACACGGGUGGCGAACGGGUGAGUAACACGUGGGUGAUCUGCCCUGCACUUCGGGAUAAGCCUGGGAAACUGGGUCUAAUACCGGAUAGGACCACUGCCUACAUGGGUGGUGGUGGAAAGCUUUUGCGGUGUGGGAUGGGCCCGCGGCCUAUCAGCUUGUUGGUGGGGUGAUGGCCUACCAAGGCGACGACGGGUAGCCGGCCUGAGAGGGUGACCGGCCACACUGGGACUGAGAUACGGCCCAGACUCCUACGGGAGGCAGCAGUGGGGAAUAUUGCACAAUGGGCGCAAGCCUGAUGCAGCGACGCCGCGUGAGGGAUGACGGCCUUCGGGUUGUAAACCUCUUUCAGCACCGACGAAGCGCAAGUGACGGUAGGUGCAGAAGAAGGACCGGCCAACUACGUGCCAGCCGCCGCAGUAA